rnacentral:rRNA from 1 species
UGGGGAAUUUUGGACAAUGGGCGCAAGCCUGAUCCAGCCAUGCCGCGUGCGGGAAGAAGGCCUUCGGGUUGUAAACCGCUUUUGUCAGGGAAGAAAUCUUCUGAGUUAAUACCUCGGGAGGAUGACGGUACCUGAAGAAUAAGCACCGGCUAACUACGUGCCAGCAGCCGCGGUAAUACGUAGGGUGCAAGCGUUAAUCGGAAUUACUGGGCGUAAAGCGUGCGCAGGCGGUUUUGUAAGACAGAGGUGAAAUCCCCGGGCUCAACCUGGGAACUGCCUUUGUGACUGCAAGGCUUGAGUGCGGCAGAGGGGGGAUGGAAUUCCGCGUGUAGCAGUGAAAUGCGUAGAUAUGCGGAGGAACACCGAUGGCGAAGGCAAUCCCCUGGGCCUGCACUGACGCUCAUGCACGAAAGCGUGGGGAGCAAACAGAUUAGAUACCCUGGUAGUCCACGCCCUAAACGAUGUCAACUGGUUGUUGGGAAGGUUCCUUCUCAGUAACGUAGCUAACGCGUGAAGUUGACCGCCUGGGGAGUACGGCCGCAAGGUUGAAACUUAAAUGAAUUGACGGGGUCAUAGCUGUUUCCUG